rfam:Cucumber mosaic virus (strain Pl-1) genomic RNA segment RNA1, strain Pl-1, complete sequence
GGUGCCUUUGAAACCAUCUCCUAGGUUUCUUCGGAAGGACUUCGGUCCGUGUACUUCUAGCACAAGAUGCUAGUUUCAGGGUACGGGCACCCCCCCCUCAUUUAAUGGGGGGCCUCCUCAAGGAG